AUACGGAGGGUGCAAGCGUUAUCCGGAAUCAUUGGGUUUAAAGGGUCCGUAGGCGGGCUAAUAAGUCAGGGGUGAAAUCCCACAGCUUAACUGUGGAACUGCCCUUGAUACUGUUGGUCUCGAGUUACAGUGAAGUGGUUAGAAUGUGUAGUGUAGCGGUGAAAUGCAUAGAGAUUACACAGAAUACCGAUUGCGAAGGCAGAUCACUAACUGUAUACUGACGCUAAUGGACGAAAGCGUGGGGAGCGAACAGGAUUAGAAACCCCAGUAGUCC
rnacentral:rRNA from 1 species